UGGCUCAGUGGUAGAGUGCUUGCCUUGCAUGCAUGAUGCCCUGAGUUCAACUCCUCAG
rnacentral:tRNA from 1 species